rnacentral:rRNA from 1 species
GAUGAACGCUAGCGGGAGGCCUAACACAUGCAAGCCGAGCGGUAUUGUUUCUUCGGAAAUGAGAGAGCGGCGUACGGGUGCGGAACACGUGUGCAACCUGCCUUUAUCUGGGGGAUAGCCUUUCGAAAGGAAGAUUAAUACUCCAUAAUAUAUUGAACGGCAUCGUUUAAUAUUGAAAGCUCCGGCGGAUAGAGAUGGGAACGCGCAAGAUUAGCUAGUUGGUGAGGUGACGGCUCACCAAGGCAAUGAUCUUUAGGGGGCCUGAGAGGGUGAUCCCCCACACUGGUACUGAGACACGGACCAGACUCCUACGGGAGGCAGCAGUGAGGAAUAUUGGUCAAUGGGUGCAAGCCUGAACCAGCCAUCCCGCGUGAAGGACGACUGCCCUAUGGGUUGUAAACUUCUUUUGUAUAGGGAUAGACCUUUCCACGUGUGGAAAGCUGAAGGUACUAUACGAAUAAGCACCGGCUAACUCCGUGCCAGCAGCCGCCGUAAGAC